rnacentral:lncRNA from 1 species
CUCACCUCAAGUGACCUACCUGUCUAGGCCUCCCCAAAUGCUGGGAUUACAGGACUCAGCCACCACGUCCAGCUACAUAACUUUAUUAUAGAAACCCCUGAACACUUUACAUCAAAAAGCAUCACUCACUCUAACCCUGUCAGAGCCCCCCACCCUGCUCUGCUUCUCUUCAUAACACUUAAUACCAUUCAGCACUAUGCAUUUUCUGGUUUUUUCCUGUCCUUCCUCACUAACACGUAAGCUUGAUAGAAGGAGAAGCUGUAUGUGUUUUGCUCAGUGUUGAUUCUCCACCACCCAGAACACCUCCUAGCAUAAGGUCAGCACUCAGUAAGUUGCUGAAGGAAAGAAGGGAUGGGUUUGAGCAGAGUGGAGAUGGAGAUCAGCUGAUGAACUUUUGAGAUCUAGUAGGUGGCAGAAUAGUCAGAUUGUGAUGAAUUGUUGGGUAUUGAGCAGGAAAAGGGAGAUGAAGGAAAUAAGAGGGCUCUAGGAGGCUCUCCAAGUUUCUGCCCUACACACUGAGUUGAUGGUAUACUGUUCCCUGAAAUAGAGAAGAUGGGAAAAGGAUUUGAUUAAGGACAGGGACAGAGAAGGAUAAUUUCAACUUUGAGGAAGUUGAGAUUCAGGUUAUUAGGACAUAUUCAACUGAAGAUAUCCUGGAGGUAGCUGGCUCUAGAACUAUUAACUGAGUUUGUGCUGAACACUCAUCUCUGUUAGGUACAAAACUGCAUGGAAAGGAGAUGAAGAGAGACUGUAUAGUAUUGAGUCAUUUUCCAGGGAAAAGCUAAAUCCUUUUCACCCCUUCAGGUGAACUUACCAAACCAGCUGCUACUCAGAAGCUCACAGCCUUUCAGAAAAAGCUCUGCAGGAAGCAUAAAAUGAAGACAAUGCAAAGGCCUCUCCCAUAAGCAAGCCUGGGUACAACGAGCCUAAGCCAGUACCAACACCCCAAUCCUCAGCUCGUCAUUAUUUCACCAUGGAGUUCUGGAUCCUAAUCUGCCCAGCUGCCAUGGAUUCCACAGGAGAUUCUUAUCAGGAUGAGAAAAGCAGUGAGCUUUCAGCCUGUCACUCUAUUAUAUACAACCAGAAGCCUGCUCAGGAACGAAGAUUACUCUGGGUAGCAGAAUGAAACUCCAUUAAAAACAGGAUUGAAAGGCUGGGUCUUACAGAGGAGAUCAGAUCAUGAGGACUCUCCCCUCAUGAAUGAAUGAAAGAAUGGAUUAAUGAAUUAAUGGGUUAUCAUAGAAGGGAAACUGGUGGCUUCACAACAAGAUGAGAGAUCUGACCUCGAAUAUUUGCCUGCUCAGCCUCAUUGCCAUGUGAUGCCAUGUCCUGUGCCACCUCUGGACUCUGCAGGGAGUCCCCACCAGCAAGAAGGCUCUCACCAGACAUAGCUCCUCGACCUUGGAUUUCUCAGCCUCCAGAACGGCUCUACAGAUUGAUUUUAAAGCCACCUACACUGCAGUUUCUUCAAUUUAGCUCUACUUAUCUGAUUAUGCAUCACAAAAGGAAGCAGAAAUUCAGCUUAAUUGUGAAGCCAUUGCAGCAGAACCAAGCAAAUGAUAGAAAACCUCAUGAUCACAGACAGAAUCACACUCACUGAUGCUGAAUGAAAUGACAGACAUCCGUCCCUCUGCAGAAGCCUGAAUACUGAUCACAGAAUUUUACGUUCUGACAUUGUGUGUCUCUUGUCAGAUAGUGUUGUCCUUUACUUUCCCCGCUUCAGUUGUGAAAGUCAGGUGCAGUCUCAUACUAUUUUUUUUUAAAAUUCAUUAUGACAAGUAAAUGGUCUCUGGGAAAGCGAACAUCCUCAUCCACUGUUUACUGAAACUGUAACACUGUCAUGAGUGAAGAAUGAAACAUGUUUAAUGUAAAGAGUUUGCAGAAUGAUGAUCAGAGGAAAAGAACAUUAAACAGAAGAAACAUAAAUAUAAGAAUGGGGAGAGAGAUGUAAUCAAAAGACAGCUUGUAAGGGAGGUUACAUGCUGCCAUUUGCUUUUCAGCUGUGUUUUCCAUAGUGGGACAGAUCUUGCUCUUUGUUACUUCUACUUUUGCUUUUUCCCAUCUGCAAAGAGGGAAACAAUCUGCUUUUGAAUCUCUGGUGAAGCAUCACCUAGAAGCUGCUGCCAAAGCUUGAUAUCCAGAGUGCUCUAAAACAUAGUGUGAUGUGCCCUUUCAUCUUAAAGGAUUAUUUUUGGCUGGGCAGACCUCUCUAAGAUAGAUUAUAAGGAGCUGGCUUUUAAAGGCAAUGAAAACUGCUUCUGUAUUCACAUUUACCCCCUCCCUCCAUUAUCUGAGGUAUGUAAAUAAUGUUUUAAAGUGGUGAUGUGAGAAUAUUAAUUAUGUUUUCAUUUCUUGUUCCUGUUACCAUGUAAUAUAUCUUCAAGUGCUGAGAAAACAUCUUACAAAACCAUUAAAGAUUCCAAAUGUUCAUACAUAAAUGGGUGUUAAAAGCGGAUGCCUGAGUUACAUACAAUUAAUGAUACACAGACACGUAUCAUACAUACAUGGACAUGUACCACUGGAAAAAUCAAGUCUACAAAGAAUAAAAAUAUUUCUGUCAGUGAGUAAAAGGCUAAUAAUGUAAUGAUAUCCAAAGGAAAUGCAGGGACACAUAUGGAUGAGCUCGGAUUCCACAUAUUGGGUGACUAAGAAUGAAUUAGCAUAAAUUAUAAAUUUGUUCCAAUUAUAGAAGGUAAUUAUCGGAGACCAGCUUACAGCAUUAUCAAAAUUAAAACAGCAAAGUGCAUCUGUAUUCCAAGUAGAUGCCAUUGAGUUAAUCGUCCUGAAAAAAAAACCAAAAAGACUCUACACUUAUUCAUCUUCUAUUCCUUUGAUUACUAGACACUCUAUCCAAGUUUCCCCUCAGCUGACAGACACAAAGUCACCAUGAAGGAAGAAAAACAUUUUGAAA